rnacentral:rRNA from 1 species
UACAGAGGGUGCGAGCGUUAAUCGGAAUUACUGGGCGUAAAGCGCGCGUAGGCGGCUUUGCAAGUCGGGUGUGAAAUCCCCAGGCUUAACCUGGGAACUGCAUUCGAGACUGCAUUGCUAGAGUAUGGGAGAGGGAAGUGGAAUUUCCGGUGUAGCGGUGAAAUGCGUAGAGAUCGGGAGGAACACCAGAGGCGAAGGCGGCGACCUGGACAGUUACUGACACUCAACUACGAAAGCGUGGGGAGCAAACAGG